CCUGAACAGAUACUUACUAGAGCACAAAACGACAGUCAGCGACAUUAAAGAAUGUCUUGUUUAUUGCUAAAGCCAUAUGGUCAAAAUCAAAUGAUUGAUCAAUAAUAUAAUAAGAAUAACUUUUAACAAUGACUUUUUUCACAAGUAUGUUUCUUGUAAACGACAAUAACAAGCACCCAAUGGGAAAAGGGUAUUUUACAAUGACUUGAAAUGCACCACGAGGCUGGCGAGUUUCCAGUGAACGCACCGUCUCUGUGUUGUUUUUCCGACCAACGGCAGCUGUAGUGUCCCCGUGUUGGAGUCCUCUACAGGGAAACACUGUCCC